rnacentral:lncRNA from 1 species
UCGGAUUUUAGACCCUUUCCCCCACUUCUCCUUUCCCUUUGACGGACACUCUUCUUCCCCACCCCAACAGCAAUGGUGACGAGCGGCUCCGUCCCCUCGGCUCCCCCGCACUUCGUCCUCGUACCGUUACUGGCGCAGGGCCACCUCAUCCCAGCCAUGGACAUCGCCGCGCUGCUCACCGCCCGCGGCGCCGCCGUAACCCUAAUCACCACCCCCGUCAACGCCGCGCGCCUCCGCCCCCUCGCCGAUCGCCUCGUCGCCUCCUCCUCCCACUCCGGCCCCUUUCGCCUAGCCGAGCUCCCCUUCCCCGCCGCCCCCUUCGGCCUCCCCGAGGGCUGCGAGAACCUCGACCUCAUCCCCUCCCCGCCCCUCUACCUCAGCUUCUUCCGCGCCGCCGCAGCGCUCCGCGGGCCCCUCACCUCCCUCCUCCGCUCCCUGCAGGCCCCGCCCCCCUCCUGCCUCGUCGCCGACAUGUUCAGCCCCUGGGCCGCCGACGUCGCCGCCGACCUCGGCCUCCCGCGCCUCGUCUUCCACGGCCCCUCCUGCCUCACCGUCCUCUCCUUCCUCUCCGCCCAGCGCCACGGCCUCAUCGGCCCCGGCGCCGCCGCCGCGGAGCCCUUCGAGAUCCCCGGGGUCCCGCACAGGAUCACGGCCACGCGCGCCGAGGUCCCCGGGUGGUUCAACGUCCCCGCGUUUGAGGAGCUCCUGCGGAGCAUCCUCGAGGCCGAGGCCGCCGCCGACGGGGUCGUCUUGAACACCUUCGAGUUCCUCGAGGGCGACUCCGCUGCUGCCUACGGCGCCAUGCUCGGAAAACCCGUGCACUGCAUCGGGCCCUUGUGUUUGAGCACUAAGGACUCGGUCGGCAACGUCGGGAGGGGCGGAGACGCCGCCGUCGACACAGGGCGGUGCGUCGAGUGGCUGGCGGCGAAGAAUCCCCGGUCGGUGAUCUACGUCAGCUUCGGGAGCCUCACCUACGUGCCGCCGAAGCAGGUCAUCGAGAUCGGCGAGGGCCUCGCGGCGGCCGGCGCGCCGUUCGUCUUCGUGAUCAAGAAGAGCGAGGUCGCGUCGCCGGAGGUAACACAGAACUGCCGUUUCUUCUUUUCUUUAUUAAAGGAAUGUGGUGUGUCUAUAGUUUGUCGAAUUCAAAUAGGUCCUCCAAAUCAUUACCACCGUUUUCUUUGUGCGUGAAAACUGAGCAACUCUGGUGAAGUUGAAACUUUUAAGUCAUUUUUAGUAAUCAGACUUUUAAAUCUAAGUUGGUUUCGUUUGAUUUGAUAUAAAAUAUUUGAGGUGUUUAAAAAAUAAAUUGUACUUGUAUUAUAUAUUACUUAUUUUAGUGAUCAUCGAAAGAGUUAAAAUUUGAAAAAAUGAUAAUGUAACGCUGAAAAUUCCAAUUCCACCAAGGAUUGACUCUACACUCCUACAAGCAGAGCAGACCUACUCAUAUUUACUCUCGUAUCAUAUAAAACAAUAUUGGAACUGGGGACGCAAAAGAAUUUGAAUGUUAAGGUCUCAUGCUCUGCUUUCAUAUCAUGUAAAGUAAUAAUUAUUUUUUGUAAAAGAUUAUAGAAUAGUGUUUUGAUCAAUUGCGCUCAAGCAGGUAGCGCAGUGGCUCUCCGGCGAAGGGGGCUUCGAGGAUAGAAACAAGGAGAAGGGGAUGGUGAUAAGAGGGUGGGCUCCGCAGGCCGUGAUACUGUCGCACCCGUCGGUCGGGGGGUUCGUGACGCACUGCGGCUGGAACUCGGUGCUGGACGGCGUGACCGCAGGACUGCCCGCAAUCUGCUGGCCACACUUCGCCGACCAGUUCAUGAACAAGAGACUAGUCGUCGACGUACUCAGGACCGGCGUGGACGUCGGCAUUAAAGGCCCGCUUUCCUACGUGGAUCCGAACAGCGUGCAGUUGGUGACAAGGCAGGAGGUGGAGCGGGCGGUGCGGAGUGUGAUGGACGGCGGGGAGGAAGCAGAGGAGAGGAGGCAGAAGGCGGCGAAGCUCGCGGAGGAGGCGAGGAAGGCGGUGGAGGAAGGAGGGUCGUCUUACAGAGACUUGGACCGGCUCUUGCAGUUUCCCUCGCAGAAAUAUUGCAAUGCGGCAUAUUGCAAUGGGGCAGGUUAGAUUAGAUUAAAAAAGUACUUCUAAAAUUUAUUUAUCUUAUUAAAGAAUUGCUUAUCUUCAAAAAUAAUUUGUUAUUUAUCUUGAAGGGGUUGGUGUCUUUCUUCUGUUGAGUUAUGAUUUGGUUGGAGUGGUUUGGUAUUGUGGCAGUAAAUUUUCCUGUUCUUAAAAUUCUCUGGUCCAGUUGUUCAUACGGCUGUCUCCUUUAAUAAUUAAUGGUAAAGACUUUUCAAUUUGCAAGAAUGCUACCUCCCAAAUUACAAUUCGUUUCGUCAUCAUUUUUUUCUUGUCUUCUUUGCCUACGGUGGCGAGGCCUAUGGUGGCGAUGUAUCAAACUACAGAGACAACUAUGAAUGUAUCAGGGAGGAUAUAUAUACAAAUCAUAGAAUAUUAAGAAAAUUAAAUCUAAUCACUUAAUUUUUGCAUAAACUUAUUUACAAUUUAGCACCUUUACAUGGACCCAAAUAAAACAAAGGGAAAACUUCAAAUAUCCAUCUUGUGGUUUCACUUUUUCUCAUUUUAAUAUCCUGUGGUUUAAAGUGUAUCAAAUUAGUACUAUGUGGUUUUGCACUUUCUUACUUAGUACCCUGUGGUUUAAAGUGUAUCAAGUUAGUACUCUGUGGUUUUGUACUUUCUCACUUUAGUACCCUGUCGUUUCGCACUUUUUCACUUUAGUAUCCUGUGAUUUAAAAACCACAGGAUACUAACUUGAUACAAAAAUAAAAUCACAGAAUACUAACUUGAUACAAAAAUAAAACUAUAGAGUACUAAUACACUGUAAACCACAGAGUACUAAAGUGAGAAAGUGCGAAACCACAAGGUACUAACUUGAUACAGUUUAAAUCACAGGAUACUAAAAUGAAAAAGUGCGAAACCAUAGGAGGGUUUUUCAAGUUUUUCCUAAAACAAAUCCUUCUUUUAUAUGUAUAUUUUUUCAUAGACCGAGAUCUUUGUUUUUAAAUAUUAACAACAUACUAAUUUUUAGAAUUUUUAAUAUUUAUUUUUUAUUAUAUUAAAACUAUAAAAAUAUAUAUUAAUUAUAUUUGUUAUUUUUGGUAAUAUUUAUUUUUGUUAACUUUGAGAAAAAUACUUCAGAUUUCUAGAAGAGAGGUUUUUAUUAUUAUUAAUACAUUUAUAUGUAAAUUUAGUAAAAAUAUUUAUAUUAAUAAUUUAAAAUUAUAUUGCUUUCUUUUCGAGCUAGCGCCGUUACUGGAAGACGAAGGAGGCGCAGGCGGCAAUGGGUGCACUUAGGGAUGCAAACGGAUCCCGGUUGGUGGAGCUCCCGCCCCGAUCCGCCCCGACGGGAGCAGUAAAUGGGAGAAAAUAAACGGAUUCGGGGCAGUAAACGAGGUAAGUUUUACGAUCCGAGACGGAUUCGGGACAGAAAACGGGGGAAAUUUUGAUCCGCCCCGAAUCCGCCCCGAAUCCGUCCUGUCAUGAUCCGCCCCGAAUCCGUCCCGAAUCUACCCCGAAUCCGCCCCGUCAUGAUCCGCCCCGAAUCCGCCCCGAAUAUCAUUUAUAUUUUUUAAAAAAUAUUCCUAAAAAAUAAUAUAUUUACAAAAAAGCUCAAAAUACAAAUAAGUUAUUACUCUUAUUUCUAAUGUAUUUGAAACAUUUGAAUUUUGUUUUGAAUUGUGAUUGNUAAUGGUAAAGACUUUUCAAUUUGCAAGAAUGCUACCUCCCAAAUUACAAUUCGUUUCGUCAUCAUUUUUUUCUUGUCUUCUUUGCCUACGGUGGCGGCGAGGCCUAUGGUGGCGAUGUAUCAAACUACAGAGACAACUAUGAAUGUAUCAGGGAGGAUAUAUAUACAAAUCAUAGAAUAUUAAGAAAAUUAAAUCUAAUCACUUAAUUUUUGCAUAAACUUAUUUACAAUUUACCACCUUUACAUGGAGCCAAGUAAAACAAAGGGAAAACUUCAAAUAUCCCCUUGUGGUUUCAUUCUUUCUCAUUUUAAUACCCUGUGGUUUAAAGUUUAUCAAAUUAGUACUUUGUGGUUUUGCACUUUCUUAUUUAGUACCCUGUGGUUUAAAGUGCAUUAAGUUAGUACUUUGUGGUUUUGCACUUUCUCACUUUAGUACCCUGUGGUUUCGUACUUUCUCACUUUACUAUUCUUGUGGUUUAAAAACUAUAGGGUACUAACCUGAUACAAAAAUAAAACCACAGAAUACUAACUUAAUACAAAAAUAAAAUUAAAGUACUAACUUGAUACACUUUAAACCACAGAGUACUAAAGUGAGAAAGUACGAAACCACAGGGUACUAACUUGAUACAGUUUAAACCACAUGAUACUAAAAUGAAAAAGUGCGAAACCGUAGGAGGGUUUUUCAAGUUUUCCCUAAAACAAACCCUUCUUUUAUAUGUAUAUUUUUUCAGAGACCCAGAUCUUUGUUUUUAAAUAUUAACAACAUACUAAUUUUUAGAAUUUUUAAUAUUUAUUUUUUAUUAUAUUAAAACUAUAAAAAAAUAUAUUAAUUAUAUUUGUUAUUUUUGGUAAUAUUUAUUUUUGUUAACUUUGAGAAAAAUACUUUAGAUUUCUAGAAGAGAGGUUUUUAUUAUUAUUAAUACAUUUAUAUGUAAAUUUAGUAAAAAUAUUUAUAUUAAUAAUUUAAAAUUAUAUUGCUUCCUUUUCGAGCUAGCGCCAUUACUGGAAGACGAAGGAGGCGCAGGCGGCAAUGGGUGCACUAAUAGAGGACUCGCAAAGGCAGGAGGCGUCGAGCAUAAACAUGGUGUGAAGUGAUUAUCACCUCCUUCGCCGGGGGUACCACCUAUCGGCUUAUAAUCCUUGAAUGGCCUGCUCCAUGUCGUUGUUGAUGUCCACAGGGUCACUGGGCACUGCAACUGCCGCUGCCGCCCUCGUCCUCGUCUCCGUCUCCGUCCUCGUCUCCCUACCUGAAGCUACAUGAAGACGCGACAAUGCGGAGCUCAUGCACUUGUUGAUGUGGCCACCAAAAAUGCAUCGCGUAUAUAUUUAUAUAUAUAUAUUAAUUGAUAAUAACAUCACGUCAACAAAAUGGUCCCUCAAUAUGUCACGUCCUGCACAAGUCAAUCACAGACUAUCAUGUGUCCAAAAAAAAUAUUGGACGCGUCCGGUGCACCAUAAACCAAUACUAAAAUAUGUAUAAAUGAUAAAUUUUCAUAGUACAAUAAUUUAUUUAGAGAAAGAGAGAGAGAGAGAGAGAGGAGGUGAAGUAGAAGUAAAAAUUAAAGAGAGAGAGAGAGAGAGAAGGUGGAGUUAGGGAUGUAAAAUGAGUCGGGCGGCACGUGGGCCGUCCGGCUGGGUGCUAUAAGCACCCGUGCUGGCCCGGCCCGACCAAAACAUUUGGGCCGUGCUGGGCCUACAUUUUGCAGCCUGAUGGUCCGGCACGGCACGGCCGAAAACAGGCCUGGGCCGUGCCAGGCCGAGGAGGGGCAAGCGGCCCGGCACCCCAAGACAUAGCCCCCCUCCUCCCCAGGAGCCUUCCUCGCAAAGUAUGCUAGACCUUGGGAGGAGUGGGUUUGGUCCAAUGGACCAAACAGUUUUGGUCCAUUGGACUAAAAAUUCAUGUCUAUUUUUUUUUCAAAAAAAUAAUACAAAUUUAUUUUUUUAAUUUUUAAAAUAUUUGUUAUUUUAUAAUUAUUUUUAUAAAUUUUAAAUUUUUAAUCAAAAUAUCAAUUUAAAUAUAAGUAUUUAUAUUUUUAGAUUUUAAAAAUUAAAAAUAAAAUAAAUAUUUUAAGGGGCCGGUCUGGAGCACAGCCUGACCUGGCAUGGCCCAUGCCUUUCGGGCCGAAGGGCCGUGCCGGGUUUAAGGCUAGAUAGCUUGGACCCGGCACGACCCGGCCCAAAUUUGAAACCGAGCCGGGCCGACUCUUAGCCAGUUUCAGCNAAGAAGGAAUUCCCACAGGCAAAGUUGCAUCAAUAUUUAGUAAUGUUGAUCAACAAUUCUCUAAUAGGGAUUGUUGGAACCAUCUUAGAAACUUAAGAAGAAAGGACUUGGAUAAUGGAGAUGCACAAGCAGUCCUAAGUUAUUUUAAAAAGAAGCAGGCUGAGAAUCCGAAUUUCUUUUAUGCUAUUCAAUGUGAUUGUGAUGCUCGAUUAGUAAACUUAUUUUGGGUGGAUGCUCGAUCUCGUUUGGCUUAUGAAUAUUUUGGUGAUGUUGUUACAUUUGACACAACAUACAAAACUAACAAGUACAACAUGCCAUUUGCCCCUUUUGUUGGAUUGAAUCAUCAUCGUCAAUCAAUUUUAUUUGGUUGUGCUUUGUUACAAGAUGAAUCUGAACAAAGUUUUAUUUGGUUAUUUGAAACUUGGCUGGAGGCAAUGCAUGGAAAGUCACCCAUAUCUAUUAUUACUGAUCAAUAUUUAGCUAUUGGAGCAGCUGUGAGAAAAAUGUUUCCAAGAGCUCGUCAUCGUUUAUGCCUUUGGCUUAUUAAAAAAAAAUUUCCAGAGAAGUUGUCACAUAUAUAUCAUAAAAACUCUGACUUCAAGCGUGAAUUAAAAAGAUGCAUUCGUAAUUCACCUUCUAUAGAAGAGUUCGAAAGGGAUUGGUAUGAACUGAUGAUCACGAAUGGCUUAGAAGAAAAUGAUUGGCUUCAAGGUCUCUACAAGAUUAGAGAGUUAUGGAUACCUGUGUAUAACUGAAGGAUCUUUUUUGCAGGAAUGAAUACAACCCAAAGAAGUGAAAGCAUCAACACAUUUUUUGAUGCUUUUGUAGAUUCAACAACUUCAUUAAAAGAGUUUGUCACAAAGUAUGAGAAAGCAGUUGAUAAUCGUUAUGACAAAGAAAAGAAAGAAGAUUUUGAUUCAAGGCACAAAUCACGCAUUUUAAAGAUUGGGUCAAAAAUAGAGCAACAUGCAGCAUCAAUUUACACAAGAAAUAUUUUUAACAUUUUUCAAGAUGAGUUUGUUAAAAGCUUUCACUUCACAAGGGAAAAGGUUGAAAAGAAUGGCUCUGUUUGUCAAUACAAAGUGUUGAGUUGCUUUGAUCUCAAGGAUAAUUUUGUUGUUUGUCUAGAUCUAGACUCAAAAGCUGGUAGUUGUGGAUGUCAUCUCUUUGAAUUUAUGGGUAUUUUGUGCAGGCAUAUGUUAGCGGUUUUUCAUUUUGAGAAUAUUUUUGAAUUUCCUAGUCAUUAAGUUUUACAACGUUGGACAAAGGAAGCAAAUAGAGGCUAUAGAUGUUAUGGACAUGAAGUCGGUGUCGAAAUUGAUCCUCAUAUGUCUGUAGCAUUACGAAGCAUGAAUAUAUGUCGUUAUAUGAACAAAUUGUCUUGUAUUGCUGAGAAAUCUGAUGAGAUUUAUAGAAUUAUCAUUGCCGACUUGAGUCAACUUUGCACGAAGGUUUGUAUGAUGGAGAAUCAAUCUUCUGUAUGUAAUGAAAUUGAUGACACAAGUCAAAAAGUGAUAGAUCAACAUGUGCACCAACAGAGAAAUGAAGCAACUAUAAGUGAUCCACAUGUAUCGCAAACCAAAGGUCGUAAAAAAGUUACCGAGAAGGAGUCACACAGUGGGAGAUUAAAAAGUGGUCUUGAGAUCUCGUUGGCUCGUGUAGCAGUAAAAAGAAGAUAAUGUCAGUUGUGCGGGGGAUAUGGUCAUAAUAAGCGUAGUUGUAAGGAGAAAGAAGAUCAUACAAAUGUGAAAUCAUCUGCUAGUCGAAAUUCAUAAUUUCAUGUGAAUUUUGCUAUAUACUAUAUUUUGUGUAAGUAUUUACUAUCAAAUAUUUUCUAUUUUUAUUGAAAUUGGCAUGUAAUUAGUAUUUUUGUUACUAACUAAAUAGUUUUCUCACAUUUUCAAUCUUUUCCAAAUAUCUUUCAGGUACACUUUUGUAUCUUACUAUAGCAGGUUAAAUAGGAGCAAAGAUUGCUUUGCACAGGUGAUUAGCGCAAGUCGACAUACUCAUCUUAUAUACUUUCACUUUUAUUAUAGAUUGAAGUUCUGACUUGUUUUUUAAUUUUGACUACUUGCAGGUUCUUUUUUGUGUUCUGUUUUGUAACAUUAUAAUUCAUAGAAUAUUGUCUAGAUAUUAUUUUUGGACUCAACUGAAUGUAAACCUUUAAAGAUUUGUGAUGACAUUUCAGGUUUUUGUAAUUACUCUAAUUAUAUAUAUAGGUUGCAAAUACAAUCUGAAAGGUGAUAUUUUUUUUCUAUUUAGAAUGGUUGAAAUAGUGUAAAUGUGAAACUUAUGAAGUUUUUCUUUUUUUUGGGGGGGGGGUGGUUUUGAGCAUGAAAGUUUACAUAAUUUUUUUUAUCCCAUACUCAUGUAUAAGGUUUGUUACUCUAAUUAUUUACAUUAAUUUUAUGUGCACAAAAAACAUUCGUUUUUUUAAAAGUGUGAAAGCAUAUAAUGAAGUUUAACAGUAAAACAUAUUAUAAAGGGGUUAUUGCUAUAAUUGGCCCUUGAACUUUACUUAAUCUGUUAAUAAUUUCUUAAAAAUUUUAUUUAUUUUAAUGUGAAUUGUUGUAGUCAAUUAAAUUUUGAUUUUUUUAUAAAAUUAAAUUUUAGUGUAUUAAAAUCAAUUGCAACCAUCUAGUUAAUUUUGAAAUUAACUGAAUUUUACUAAAUUUCAGUGUAUUAAAAUUCAGAUUCUUUAUCCCUUCUAAUGUAUGUUGCGAGUAAGUGAAAGGAGUAUAGAGCUGCACAGUUCAGGCCAACAAGGAGAAAAAAAAUCAUGAAUGCAUGCACCAAAAGAUAUUGGGGAGAGAGAGAGAGAGAGUGCUAGUGCGAGAUCGCGUCAGGCAUUAAAGUGAUGGUGAGAGAUAUGACAAUUAUUUGAUCUCAACUCAAUGACCAGUUAAAAAAAUUGCCAUUACUUUAUUUCGAUCCCUGGAUUAUAUUUAAAUCUACGGUCCAAAAAGAGUAUAACAUUGUUCACCAUUGAGUGGUUGUCUGGGGACAAAAAUUUGUUGGGCAGCGUGCCCAAACUAUUUGGGCACGCUGCCCAACAAAUAUUUGUCCGUUGUCUGGAGGAGGGUAUUGAAUUCAAAUUCUUAAUUAAUGUACUUGCGAUAUAUUUGAAUUCAAAUUCUUAAUUAAUGUACUUGCGAGAGAUAUAUAUAUAUAUAUAUAUAGGGUAAUUUCAUCACUAGCUUUCUUAAACAUGAAAAUAUUACAAAUACUCCUAUAAAAUUAAAAAUAUCAUAUAUACCCCUUCAAAUGUAGAAAAUUAUCAUAAUUAUUCUUUCUUCUAACUGACGUUAGGGUAAAGUUAUAAAAUUACUAAUUUACCCCUUAAAAAGUUGGUUGUGUUGUUCUUUUGAUAACAAAUAAUAAAGGAGUAAUUUCAUGAAUACCCUUCUAACUUUUAAAAAUAACAUUUCUAACACUAAUUAGUGGAUAAAAUAUGUGGAAACUCCUCACCUAUAGGUCAUUUUGAAAUAGACUCCCUUAACUUCAAUUUUUUAACAUUUAGGGCCCUUGAACUUCUAGUUUUUUUUUGUUUUUGCAUUUUACUUAGUUAAAAGUUUUUCAAUUAAGAUUCCUCAUACAUGAAUUUGAUAAGAUUUUUAACUUAGUUGGAAAAAAAAACACUCAAUUGUAAAAGUAAAGAAUCACUAAGGUUGAGAGGAUGUAUAUAUAUAGAGAGAGAGAGUCAGGUUACUAUACUCUUAUGAGUGUGAUCGGCUUUGUACUCAUAAGCCGUUUUCAAUAAUAAAGCUUCUGAAUCGACGAUCCAUACCGUUAAAUAUUAUCUAAAAUAUUUAAAAAUUUCAAGAAAUCAAAUUUUAUAAUUUUUUUAUAUCAUUACGAUCAAAAGAUCUAAAAAUUGAUAAUUUUUAAUGGUCGGUAUGGAAUACUUGCUAUUUUAAUGGUGUAAAAAAAUCAGAAUCGAUUGAAUUUUUGAUAGAAAAUUUUAUUCACUAUCUAAAUAAAGAUCAAUAUUGAGAUUUCGACCGUUCAUUUUAUGCCCACUUGAUGGACGUUAUUAUGAUUUUGAAAAAUUAUAAAAUUUAUUUUUUAAAAGUUUUAAAUACUCUAGAUCAUAUUUAACGGAGUGGAUCAUCGAUUCGGAAGCUCUAUUAUCGAAAACAACUUAUUAGUACAUAUGGCUCUAUAUUUAUAAAAGUAUUGUAGCCCUACUUUUAUAUAUAUAUAUAUAUAUAAUUCAAAGUUAAGACCAUACUGAAGUGGACUAAUAGUUGAGAGGUUCUUCAUACAAUGUUACUUUUUUUGUUGACAAUAAAUGUUCAAUUAAAAAAUUACUGCUUGAGCAGGUUAUAUGAAAAAUACUCUAAUAUCAAGAAUUUUGAUAUCAAAAUAUUUUUAAUGUGACUUAUGUGAGUUAUUUAAAUAAAAUUCAAAAAAAAAUCUUGAAAUAAUUAAUGUUGAAUACUACAAUGGACAAUUGCAUUACAACUAUUAUAUAAUUUAAAAGCAAAAAAUUAUAACAAGAUUUAAUUAUUACACUUAAUAGACUGUAGAUUUUUAAUUGUAAAAUUUUAAAGAGAAUGUUGAAUUAUUAUGUGAUUGAAAGGUUAAUAAUUAAUCAUAUAAUUAAUCUUAAAUUAUUACACUUAGUUAAAUUAGUAAUAAGGGUAAAUUGGUAUUUAUAGAAUUUUCGAUGAUUUUUUAACAAAAUGUUAGUCUUAAGGAUAUUUGUGAAUAUUUUUGCUUUUUAGAGGGGUAUUGUUGAUAUUUUCUAAUUUAAAUGGGCAUUUAUGAAAUUAUUGUCUCCUAGAGGGGUAUUGAUGAAAUUAUCCCUGUAUAUAAUGGGUGAGGCCGUGGGGGGUAUAGAUAACAUAUAUAAUAAACUAGGUUUUGGUUUUAAUAUUUUAUAAAAAUGUAAGAAGAUGAUGCUAAAUUAUAGACAAUUAAGUACAUUAAUAAUUGUCAGUUAAGAGCAAGUUCAUCAAUAUUUCUUUUUUAUAAAUUUUCUGCAUUUUCAGAAAGUAUAUAUAAUCUACCGUACGGAAUAAAUAAGAGUUAAUUAUUUAUUACGACAGUUCUAAUAAAAACUUAUUAAGAGAAUACUCAUAAUCAUUUUUAGAGUUUAGAAGAGAUAAAUGAAGAACCCAACAACUCAGAUUUAUUUUUGCAAAUUAACUCCCAUCUGCGGGGCGGUAGAAAUGCAAAUGGAGCUCGCCCUCUACCUGUCUGAGUGUUUUCCUCACUUUUUUUUUUUUCUCUGUUUUUUUUUUUAAUAUUUUUUUGCUGCCUCGGCCUCAAUCAUCCAAUAAUUUUUAUUUUUUAUUUAAAAAUUAUAUAUUUAUAUAAGUUGGUUGGCUGGUUAAAUUAUCUUUUGAGAGAAAUAUAAUAUGCACCUGCCCACCACUUGGGGCGGUGUGAGUCGGCCAGCCAAGGAGAGGGGCAGGGCGAACUCUGGCUUUUUUUUUUGUUUUUUUUUUUUUCAAUUUUUUUCUCAAGAAGAUUUAUAAUUUUUUUUUAAGUCCAUCUAUUUUUAUUUAUUAUCAUAAAAAUUUAAUAUAUAAAUAAUUUUUAAAUAGUUUAGACUAUUUGUAUAUAAUAUAAAAUUUUAAUUUUAUAAUAUUGAGCAUUUAGAUAUAGAUUGUAUAUUAAAAAUACAAGAAAGAAUUGAUAGAGUUAGGUUAUUUUAUAUUUACAAUUUAGUGUGUGAAAAUGCAUAAAUAUACUAAUAAAUUUAUAAAGUUAAGCGGGUACAUUUAUAUUUAAAGUUAAAAUGCUAUUGACUGACUCAAAUUUAAUAUAUAGAAAAAUUGAAUAAUAAAAAUAAAAUUUUGAAGAUUGGAUUUAUACUUUUUGUCCUUAAAAUUAUAAGACGAGUGCACUUUAAUUCUCAAACUUUAAUAUGGUUAUAGAUUUAAAUUAUGAACCAUGUGACACUUUCAUUCUCAAACUUUAAUUAGUGUUACAAUUUCUGACUUUAAAUAUAAAGUUUUUAUAUUUUAGUUUACAUUUUUAUUGUUAUAAAUAUAAUUUAUUAUUCGUAUAGUUUUUGCUGUUAUGAAGGACCAAAAAAAAAUAUUUUGCCGGAGCGUCCACACAUCCUAUUACAUACAAACCCGACAAUGGCAAGGUGCAAAGUUAAUUUGGCCAGCAGAAUAAAACAGCUUGUGCAUGUGCUUGAAUCAAGACAUGAAUACAAACAAAUACGAAAUGGUUGCUAGUGCUUGAUCAAGACAUGAAUACAAACAAAAAUACAGAAUAGGUAGAGAGAGAGAGAGAGAGAGGAGAGAGAGAGAUCUUCAUGUGCGAAGAAAAUAAAAAGGGCCCAUUUGGCAUAAAACAAUCAUAGUUUUUUGGCUUUUACAAAAACCGAACCACUUUUUCGUUUUUACAGAUCGACGCUUUUUCAGCAAACUGACUAAAAUACUUUUUUUUACUUUUUCUCUCCCUCUUUCUUUCUCUUCUUUUUUCUCUCGUUCAUUUUUUUUUCUCUCGCCGAAGAAGCAAGGAGGCAGAGGUGGACGGAGGCGGGGCAGGCGAAACGGCGUCUUCGCCUUUCACCCUCAUUGCUCACCGCCCUCGCUUGCCUAGCCGCGCACCCCAUUUCCUCGCUCCGACCCACCGACGGCCCGCGCGACUCUUUUUUUAUUUUUUUUCCCUCUCGACUCUCCUCACGGUCUCCAACAACGACGCCUCUCACCCUUUCCCGUCCUUUGUCAUCUCCCUCUCCUCCUCCUCUGCGCUCUUGGACGACGACGCAUUUCGCCGACGCCAACACCGUGGAGGUUGCUGCGGCGCUGCAGUCUCGGAGCGGGGAGUCCUUAACGGCACGUCUCGCCGACGACGUGGCGUUGGCAGGAGGAGACAAAAAAUAUUAUAGAAAAAAUAAGAAAAAAAAUAGAGAAAAAAUUAUAGAAAAGAAAGAUGAAAAUAAAAUGCACAGCUAAAAAAAAAAAAUUAUACUUGUUUUUAAAAAACGUUGCAAUGUUAUGAUAUAAGUUGUACUACUAAGAUGUAAACUGCAGCUUUAGAUGAAAAUACACUUUUUAAACAAAUUACGCUUUUGAAAGAUAUUUACACUGUUUCUCCUCUUAUUGCACUCUUUCAGAUGUAAAUUGCAUACAUUAAGAUGAAAGUUACACUCUUUUAAUCAAAAUUACACUCUUUGAGAGAUAUUUAUACGAUUUUUCUUCUUAUUGCCACUCUUUCAGAUGUAAACUAUAUCUCUUUAAAGCAGAUAUUAUACUAUUUUUCUCUUGUUGUACUGUUUCUUCUCUUGUUGCACUAUUUUCUCUUAUUACAUUAUUUUCUCUCUUAAACCUGCACCUUUAAGCGAGAACAGUAUAACAAGAUGAGAAUAAGUGCAACAAGAGCGAGAACAGUACAACAGAAAGAGAGAAUAGUAUAAAUAUCUCUAAUGAUGCAGUUUACAUCUCAAAGAGUGCAAGAAAAAAGAAACAGUGUAAAUAUCUUUCAAGAUGUGUAACUUUCAUUUAAAAGGUAUAACUUUCAUUUUAAUGGAUGAGCUUUACAUCUGAAAGAGUUCAAUAAGAGGAGAAACAGUAUAAAUAUUUUCAAAGAGUGUAAUUUUCGUUUAAAGAGUGUAAUUUUUAUCGUAAAGCUGCAGUUUAAAUCUUAUAGCUGCAACGUUCUUUUAAAACAGUACAUUUAUUUUAAAGUGCAAUUUCAUACUCAUCUUUCUUUUUAUAUAAUUCUUUAUUUAUUUUUUUUCUUGCUUUUUCUAUAUUUUUUUUUUUAUACAGUUCUUGCCACGCUGGCGACAAACGCGCCGCUAAGACCCUGCUCCGAGAUGCCGCGCCCAGCGACCUCCACGGUGUCGGUGUCGGCGAAGAUGCAUCAUCGUCGAAGGCGGGCAGAUAGGAUGGAGGAAGAGAGCUGAGGGACGAGAAGGGCGGAGAAGAGCGGAGAGGGUCGUCGUCAGAGAUGGUGGAGGAGUCUGGAGAGAAAAAAAAAAAGAGAUUGCUGUGCGACCUUAGUGAGUCGGAGUGAGGAAGGUGGGGUGGUGCGCGGCUGCGGGCGGAUAGCAUGAGAGUAGAGGCGAGACUGGCGGUUUCCGCUUCUGCCUAUGCUCCGUGCCUCUUUGGCGAGAGAAAAAAAAUGAACGAGAGAAAAAAAAAAAAGUGAGAGGAAAGAGGAGAGAGAAAAAGUAAUAAGCGGUAUUUUGCUUAGGCGGCUGAAAAAGCAGACAAAUCUACAAAAAUGAAAAUGUGGCCCUGUUUUGCAAAAACCCAAAACUAGUGGAUUUUUUAUGCAAACUGGCCAAAUAACAAGGGUAGAAAAAGGGAGACCAUCUAAGUUUAAUUAGUCUGUCCUAUAAUUAUUUGGGAAUGCUUAAAUCACGCGAUAAAAUAAAUCUAGCUGUUCUUAUUUUAAGGGCGAGAUUGAUUUUUGCAUAGUGGUUACCUGCUCAACAGUUACCAUUCGUAAAGGUAAUAUGAAAAAAAAUAAUCAAACUAAUUACCAAAUUUAAACAACCCUACACAAUAUUUGUCUUGUUUAAUUUUGUUACUUACCAAAUUAGAUAGUGAUAAUUUGAUAAGUUAAUAAACCUUUAUAAAAUUAAAUUUAAAAAUCAAUUUGAGGCUUAAACUUUAUAAUUUGUACAUUAAAUUCAAAUUUAAUUUUAAUUUUAAUUUUCAGAAUGAAAAAUUUAUGUUUAAAUGAUAGUAUAUUUCAAUUCAAAUGUUAAUUGAUAUUAAGACACGAAAUUUCAAAUAUAUUAAUUAUUUUAAAUUAUAAAUCAUGCUUAUUUAAUAACAAUAACUUUUAUUUUUUAUUUAAAUAAGAGGCUUCUAUUUUAAAUUAAAUUCAAAAUUGUUCAUUUAAUAGUAAAAACAACAUUAAAUUCAAAAAUUGAUAAAAUUAAAUUUUAAAUUUAGAUUUAGUUUAUAUAUAGUUAAAAAUAAAAUUGUUAACUAUUUAAACAAAUGAUUUAUGUUUGAAAAUUAACUUUAGAUUAUAAAUCUGAAUUUACAAAGAUGACAUGUUAUGAGAGAUGGCGAUAUUUUUAAAUUUACAAAGAUGGCAUAUUAUGAGAUAAAAAUUUACCAAAUGCCCUCAUUGCAAUCUCUAUGCCAUGAAAAUAUUGUUGCCUCGUUAAAGAGGUGACUGGUACCGAUGCCAUCAAGUGCCAGUCACCGUCUUUUAAUAGAUGCAUCAUACGUCCAUUUAAAAAAUUUAAUGGUUAAGAUUUGUUUGGUGUAUAGGAGUAUUCCUCAAAUUAUUUGAGAGCAGAAUCGUAUACCAUCGCGCUUUAUUUAUUAAAAAAAAAUUUGGAAAAAAAACGUGUAGGCCUCCUAAAAAGAAAAAUAUGGUAAAAAGUUAAAGAAUAAAAGAAUUAACUACUACACAAAUAUUCCAGUCUUUUUUCCAAGUUAUAGUAGAGCUUCAAAAUGACAGAAGAGGUCAACUGCACACAAAUUUCAAUAUUUAAAAAUCGUGUCAAAUUUUACAUGCCAAAUUAAAAUUUUAUUAAUCCACCAGUGAGAUAUCUUUUAAAACAUUUCUUAGAUGGCAAACCCCAAGUAAAAAUUGAAAACUUCAGAAAACUUAAUAAAGAAAAGGAAUAAUUUAAAAUUUUUAUUUAUUUAGGGGUGAAGGGUAUAAAGUAAUAUCCAUUUAAGGGUGGGUGUACCGAAGUAUAAUUUCACUCUGUAAGUAGCAUUUCCUCUCGCGCCGUGUUACAGCUGCAAAGCUGGUCCCGUUUCUCAUUCCCCACCCAACAGCAUGGCGACGAAGGGCUCGCCCCCAAACAUCCACGCACUUCUGUCCUCGUCCCUUCAUGGCGCAGGGCACCUCAUCCCGGCCAUGUGACAUGCCGCGCUGCUCACCGCCGCGGCGCCGCCGUAACCUAUCAUACCACCGUCAACGCCGCGCGCCUCCGCCCUCGCGAUCGCUCGUCGCCUCCUCUCCACUCGCGCUUUCGCCUCGCCGAGACCUCCGUUCCCCGGCGCCUCCUUCGGCCUCCCGAGGGCUGCGAGAGCCUCGACCUCAUCCGUCCCCGCGCCUCGUCCUCAACUCUUCGCGCCGCCAGCGGCGCUCCGCGGGCCUCACUCCUCCUCGCUCCCUGCAGGGCCGCGCCCUCGUGCUCGUCGCCGACAUCUGCCAGGCCUGCGGCGCGGACGUCGCCGCCGACCUGCAUCCCGCGCCUCCUCAACCACGUUUCCUCCGGCCUCACCGUGCUCUCCUACCUCUCCGCCGAGGGCCACGGCCUUCACGGCCCCGCGCCGCGCGCGGCGGAGCCCUUCGAGAUCCCGGCGGUAACGCACGGAUCACGGCACGCUCGUCGAGGUCUCCGGUGGUUCUUUUCCCCGGGUGGGAGGAGAUCAAGCGGAGCACCCUCGAGGCCGAGGCCACCGCCGACGGGCCGUCCUCAACACCUUCGAGCUCCUCGAGGGCGACAUCGCGCGCCUAGCGGCCAUGCUCGGAAACCCGUUCUACUGGAUGGCCCCUUGUGCUGUAGUAUAAGGAUACGCGGCGGCAGCCGUCGGGAGGGCGGAGACGCCGCCGUCGACGCGCGGCCGGUGGCGUCGAGUGGCUUGCGGCCAAGAAGCCCGCUCGGUAAUCUACGUCGGCUUCGGGGCCUCAGCUACGUGCGCCGAGCAGGUCAUCGAGAUCGGCGAGGGCUUGCGGCGGCCGCGCGCCGUUUGUCCUCGUCAUCAAAACAGACCGAGCUGCGCCCGAGGUAACGUCGUGAAAUACUGUUUAUAUAUAUAUUUAUAUAUAUAAUAUAUAUUAUAUAUAUAUAUAUAUAUAUAUAUAUCGUAUAGCUAUUAUACUAUUAUAAGUAUUGGACCUUCGUAUUCAUAAGUUGUUUUCGAUGAUGAAGCUUCCGAAUCGACGAUCAACUCCAUUAAAUAUGAUCUAGAGUAUUUUAAACUUUUAGAAAAUAAAUUUCGUAAUUUUUCAAAAUCAUAAUAAAUUCCAUCAAGCGGGCAUAAAAUGAACGGUCAAAAUCGAACGAUGUCUUAAAAAUGGAUGAUCAGAUCCUUCAAUUUAAGAUUGGAGUUAUUGAUCUUUAUCUAGAUAGUGAAUAAAAUUUUCUAUCAAAAAUUCAACCUAUUCGAAUUCUUUUGCACCGUUAAACUAGCAAGUAUUUCAUACCGGCCGUUAAAAAUUGUCAAUUUUGUGAGCUUUUGAUCGUAAGGUAAAUAAUGUCGAAAAAUUAUGAAAUUUGAUUUCUAGAUAUUUCAAAUGCUCUAUAUAAUGUUUAACGAUGUGGAUUGUCGAUUCGGAAGCUCUAUCAUCGAAAACAACUUAUGAGUACGAGGGCGAUCAUACUCAUAAUAGUAUAGUAGCCAGACUCUCUCUCUCUCUAUAUAUAUAGAGAGAGAGAGAGAGAGAGUUGAGCUAGAAUACUCUCAAAAGCACGGAGGGGGCGGUACUUUUAAGAUUUUAACUAUUGAAUUGAGAGAUGUAAGGUUGAAAUGAUAGUGGUAAGUAGAAUAAUGUUUGAUCCAAGGGGUAUUAAUAAUUAAGGAGUAGAUCCAAGAACUAAAAAUUUAGAAGCACAAAAAAAUUGGUGCUUCUAAAAUAUUCUAGCUCAACUGCUUAUUAAAAAAUAACAUUUUCCUUUUUUUGUUUUCAAAAUUAUCCUUUCUCACAAAACAUUGCCCAUCAUCAUUAAAUUAUCCUUUCUCACAAAAUAUUGCCCAUCAUCAUUUCUUAACCAUUGAGCUUUAUGGGGUGGGAUGUUCAAUAUUCUAUUCUUUUAAAUUUUUAUUUUAUAAAAUAUUUUUAAUUUAUUAGAUCUAAUUGGAAGAAUGGCAUAAAAGUUAUGGGCCAUUCUUUUUUUAUUUUUUUAUUUUUUGAGAAAUAGGUAGUAUGCUAUCUGAUUUAUUUAUUUCAUUUAUAAAUAAACUUAGCUAGAAAUGUGAAUCAACUAGGAUUUGAAUUUGAAUUUCGGAUACCAACCAUCAAACCCUUGUCAUUUACUCUAAGAACGAUCGGUGAUAUCAGCCAUCCUCUUUUACGAAAUUCUUAUCUGGCCUUUUUAAAUUUUUUUUGUUCUCAAUAAUUUUUAAUAAAAAAAAAAGUCUUUGAUCGCAGUUUUCCCGAGAACGCAUUGAGAGCGCCCACGUUUCCCAAAAACGCAUCAGGAGAACGACGUAAUUACGGAUUAACUAGUAUCUCUCAAUAAUUUUCAGUUUAAAAAAGGGUUAAUUAUAUUAUAGGUUCCCUACUAUAUUUUUAAUUUGGCCCCCCUUUUUUUUUUUUUUUUUGGCAAUCGUGUCCCUAACUUUUUUAUUUUAUUUCAAUUAAGUCCCAGCUUGACAUCUUUUUACAUAUCAAUUUUAGUCCUUAAAUUUUGUACGUAAAACACUGUAGUCUUCAAAAAUAAAAAUUCAAAUUCAAAAUCAAUACUAAAUUAAAAUAAAAAACUAAUGAGAAAUUCGAAUUCAAAGAGAUAAUUUUGAUUUACAGCUUUAUUAAAAUUUUGAAUUGAAAUUUAAAUUUUAAAUUUGAAUUUUAAAAUUUGCAUUCAAACUUAAAAUUUUGAAUUUGAUUUUGAUAUUUUAAUUUGCAUUUAAAUUAAAAAUUUUGAAACAAAAAUUUAAAUUUAAAAUUAAAAUUAAAAAUUCAAAAUUAAAUUCAAAAUUUUGAUUUUAAAUUUUAAAUCAAAAUUUCAAGUUUGAGUGGCCGAAUCCAACACCAGGAAGCAAAACAGAAGACCAGCCCGCUCAUAGGCAAGGCAUCUUUGUCAAUCGUCACCCAUCAUUCGAAUCGAGAGACUCUAUUCCGUCACUAGUUACAGCUCUCUAGUAUGAUAGUUGUUGUUAAGCAGUUAUCUAUUUAAUAAGAAGUACGAAUCGAACCCUCGCCUCGACUCACCUCUUUCUCUAUAAAAACCCCUCCACUGAGGAGAGCAGAAGCUCCAGGACCCCGCCUCGCUUCUUAAAUAAAGAAGAAAAGAAAGACCAGUAGUACCGCUUCCUUCCCGGCAAACAAGAAUAGGAAUCUUUCUUCCAUCUAACUAACCGGGGAAGAUCUGGAACUGAACUGACUAUUGGCAGUUCAAUCACUUGAAUAUAACAGAAAUCAGUGGCGUCAAUUCAUUGAAUCAAGGUUUGGGUAUUCUUCAGGCUUUUUCGAUUCUCUUUCUGUCUAUUUUUGAGUCUCAUGUGGUACCGGGUAAAAAAAGGGGACAUCAGAAGGAUUCAGUGACAAGUCUUUCUAUUAUCUAUUUAUUGACGAGCGACAUUCAAUUAUUCGGGGUUCUACUGGGGUACGGUAGGUACCAGUGGUCCAAACCGACUUAUUUGAUUCCAGUUAUCUUAUCUUCCGCAUGCCCAUACUUUUUUUCUUUAUAACAAGAGAAAUUAUUUGAUCCAUUGAUUUGUUAAAGAGAAAUUUGUGAUUUGAAGAGUCACUCGGUUACUGGGUCACCUAUUUCUUCAAGAUAAAAUUAGUAAUUCAUAGAAAUAGAAUAAAAUUAAAUGAGACUAACAACAACACGCAAGAAUUGGAAUGCUACGGUACUCAUAGUAUGAAUCUCAUAUAAUAUAAAAUAAUAGUUAUUUCUUGUAAAAGAUUACAGAAUGGUGUUUAAUUUGAUCAAUUGCGCUCAACCAGGUAGCGCAGUGGCUCUCCGGCGAAGGGGGCUUCGAGGAUAGAAACAAGGAGAAGGGGAUGGUGAUCAGAGGGUGGGCUCCGCAGGCGGUGAUACUGACGCACCCGUCGGUCGGGGGGUUCGUGACGCACUGCGGUUGGAACUCGGUGCUGGAGGGCGUGAUUGCAGGACUGCCCACAAUCUGCUGGCCUAGCUUCGGCGACCAGUUCAUGAACAAGAAGGUGAUCACCAACAUACUCAAGACCGGCGUCGACGUGGGGAUUAAAGGCCGCCAGAUAUCGCACAUGGAUAGCGUGCAGCUGCUGUCGAGGCAGGAGGUGGAGCGGGCGGUGCGGAGUCUGAUGGACGGCGGGGAGGAGGCAGAGGAGCGGAGGCAGAGGGCGGCCAAGUUCGCGGAGGAGGCGAGGAAGGCGAUGCAGGAAGGAGGGUCGUCUUACAAGGACCUGGACAGGCUCAUGCAGUUCGCCUCGCAGAAAGAUUGCAAUGGAGCAGAUUAGAUUCUGAUAUUAGAUUAUGAAUUCAUCAUUGAAUAAAAGUUGGUGUGUCUUUCAUGUGUUGAGUUAUGCAUGAGAACGUAGACAUGUCCUGUUGCACCAAUUUGGAUUAUAACUUUUUGCAGCUUAAAAUUUGAUUUCUAAAUAGUUUCAAUAGUAUAGAUCAUGUCUAAUAAAGCGGAUCGUAUGGAGGCCUCUUUACUAUCAAUAGUAUUCUAAUCUAAGAUCAUAAAUGACCUCUUGUCGCAUCAAUUUCUUUUUUAUACUACAGCCUUGUCUCAUCAAUUAUUCAUAAGAAUGAUACAUUUUUGAACUAUUAUAAAUACCCUCGAUAAAUUUUGACCAUUGCACAAAUAUGUAGUCAUAUAACAUAAUUUUAUUGGCUUAUAUAGAAAGAAUAUUAUUAAUUGUAUUUUCAGUUUUGGAAGUUCAUGAAUUCUUACUAUCAAAGUUUAUUAAUAAAGCCUCAUUGUUAUUUAUGACUAUCAAAUUACACACAGUUGGCAUCUAACGGUCGAUAUUUGUAUUCAACAUUACUUAAAAGUUUCUAAACAUCUCACAAAUCUCAUACAAUGGAUAUUUCGAAUGUCAAAAAUUUUCAAAUUUGAUAAUAAACUAUCAACAGAGUAUUAUUCAGGUGACCCGUUGAGGUAAAAGACCAACUACAACAAGCCCAAGUUCAAAAGCAAUGUAAAAGACCCUUCCUUGCCUAUAGGUGGUUCUGAAAUAGAACCUUAAGUUUGAUAAUUUAUUUACACUCUCAACACAUGAUUUUUUUCUUGUAAUUGAAUAUUUUAUGAAAAAUACUACACGUCCGCCUACUUAUAGAUUUAAUCUUAUUACCGUUCUAUCCUAAAAUUCACAAACACCCUAAUUAGGUUUAGAGAGUACAGGUAACUCUUUGUGCAUACAGUAAAGCUUUUAGCCACAUUUGUGUUUGUUCUCCUCAAUCACGAGUAAGAAUGAUCAUUUUUUUAAAAAAAAAGUCUCAAAUUUUAUUUCAAUUUUCUCUGAAAACAAUAAGAUACCAAUCAGGCAACGGCUAAAGUUCAAACGGACAAUUGAAGUCCAUGACCCAAAUCACAUUGCACUAUAUGCACAAGGAAAGAAUCACAAGAGUCGAAUAGAACAGAAAGUAACAAAACAUUCAGCAAAUCUAAGAAGAAAAGAGUACAGAGAUAAUCACGAAGUGUUCAAUAGUUGGGCCGGCAUGGCCAACAUUUAUCCGGGCCAAAUUGGGUUGGGGGUCGGCCCGGUCCGGUCCUUUUAAAAUUCGGCCCGUGCCAUGCUGGGCCAAAUUUUAUGAAUACCCGGACCAUCACAACCCUUCGGCCCGAAUGGCAUAGGCCGUUCCGGCUUAAGGCUGGCCCUUUAGUUUUUUUUAUUUUUUUAUUUUUUAUAAAUAGUAUAAUAUUUAAAAAUAAAAAAUAAAAUAAUUCUUUUAUAAUAUGCUCGCUAAAGAAUUAAAUUUAUUAAAAUAUUUAUAAAAUAAUGAAAUUUUUAAAUAAUUUUUAAAUUUUAGAUUUUAGAUUUUUGAAAAAAAAACUCUUUUUAAAUAUAUUUACAAAAGAAUAUUUUAGAAAAAGAUUAUUUUUUAGAAGGGCCUAGGACUUGGGACCCUAGGCCCUUUUUUUAACUCAGCCUUAGGAGUUGGGGAGCAAGCCCUCCAGCUUGGGGAGCUGGGUUCCCAAGGGCCGCAGGAGUCCCAAGGUCGGGCCGUGCUAGUCCGGUAGGCAUGUCCUAUGCAGGCCGUGCUGUGCCGUGCCGGGCCGACGAGCUCAGUUGGAGUGGCCUAGUACAACUCGUGAUGCCGGAUUAGGCGGGCCAGGCACGGGUUUGUACCCAUGCCGUGCCUGGUACGGCCCGUAGUCGUGCGAGGCCGAGAGGCCCUUUUUGUACCAAUCUAACAAUACUUAAUUUGACAGUACCACAGAGCCACGUGGCAAGCAUUCCUUUGCCUAUUCCACAUGGCGGGCACAAGGCAUUUCUCUCCCCCACAACAGAUGUUCAUUCUCUCUUUUCUCCUCUCCCCUUCUCUCUUUCUCUCUUUUUCCCUAAGGUGGCCCCCCCACUCUCUCUCCUAACAAUCCAGCCAGCUGUCUCCACUCUCUUUCUUCCUUACUCCAGCGGUCCCCCACUCUCUCUCUCUCCCUCCCCUACUCUUUCUCUUUCUCUUAUCCCCUCAUUCUAUUUCUCUCUCUCUCUCUCUCAUCAGAAAUCUUUUCGUGCAGGGUUCGAUCGGCCUUGAGCGGCGACGGCGGUGGCGGCUUAGUAUUUUUUUAAGAGUAGGAACGCAGAAUAUUAUGUUAUCCACUUCAAUUAUUAAAACAAUAAAUUAGGCAACAAAAGUGAGACAGGUAGGCAUCGAAAAAAAAAGAAUCCAACAAUACUUAAUUUGCCAGUACCACAGAGCCACGUGGCAAGCAUUCCUAUGCCUAUUCCACGUGGCGGGCUCAAGGCAUUUCUCUCCCCCACAACAGAUGUUCAUUCUCUCUUUUCCCCUCCCCUCUCCUCUCUUUCUCUCUCUUUUCCUAAGGUGGCCCCCACUCUCUCUCCCCUGACAAUCCAGCUAGCUGUCUCCACUCUCUUUCUUCCUUACUCCAGGUGUCCCCCACUCUCUCUCUCUCUCUCUCUCUCUCUCUCUCUCUCUCUCUCUCCCUCCCCUACUCUCUCUCUCUCUUAUCCCCUCCUUCUAUUUCUCUCUCUCUCAUCGGAAAUCUUUUCGUGCAGGGUUCGAUCGGCCUUGAGCGGCGACGGCGGUGGCGGCUUAGUAUUUUUUUAAGAGUAGGAACGCAGAAUAUUAUGUUAUCCACUUCAAUUAUUAAAAUAAUAAAUUAGGCAACAAAAGUGAGACAGGUAGGCAUCGAAAAAAAAAAAUAUAAUAAAAAGCUAAAGAAAAAAAAGACAGUACCUCUCAGUCUCUUAUAUAGAGUUUGUAUCUAUAGUAAAGCUUCAAAAUGACUGUAAGAAACAACAGCAACAAACAUAUUUAAUAUUUAAAAAUCGUGCCGAAUUUUAUUAGCCAACUAAAAAAUUUUAUUAAAUUCACGAGUGAGUAAUCUCUAAUAAAAAUGUUUUACUAAAUGAAACACCCAAAUAAAAAUAAAUUUUUUACACUUUUUUCUUAAUCACUUCAAAAGAAGGCUAGAUUAGUAAAUAUUUUUGAAUAUGAGACUAGAUGGGCAAAAUUUUUUUACAAAGGCUAGAUUAGUAAAUAUUUUGAAUAUGAGACUAGGUGGGUAAAAAUUUUUUACAAAGGGUAGAUGAGGAAUUAGAUCUGUUACAAAAGCUGGUCCCGCUUCUCUCCUCGCAACGAGAUCGUUACAAAAGCUGGUCCCGCUUCUCUCCUCGCAACGAACGCUAGCUAGCUUCUGAGCACUCGAGCUUCCCCAAGCUUCCCCACCCCAACAGCAAUGGCGACGAAGGGCUCCGCCCCCAACACUCUCCCGCAUUUCGUCCUCGUGCCCUUCAUGGCGCAGGGCCACCUCAUCCCGGCCAUGGACAUCGCCGCGCUGCUCACCGCCCGCGGCGCCGCCGUAACCCUAAUCACCACCCCCGUCAACUCCGCUCACCUCCGCCCCCUCGCCGACCGUCUCGUCGCCUCCUCCUCCCACUCCGGCCCCUUUCGCCUCGCCGAGCUCCCCUUUCCCGCCGCCUCCUUCGGCCUCCCCGAGGGCUGCGAGAGCCUCGAC